rnacentral:tRNA from 1 species
UCCGAAUUGGUGUAGUGGCUAACAUCCAAGAUUCUCAUUCUUGGGCCCGGGGUUCGAUUCCCCGAUUCGGAA